UGGAAGUUGACUGUGAAUACGAGUGGUAGUCUAACCAGGUCUGUCAGAUUGUUGGGAAUGGGAAAACACUGGCGGCAGCUCUGCAUGCACUCGUCACUGAAACCUAUACAUACAAGAGUUGUGGUUUGAACUGAAGGUCUAGCUCUAGCAGUCACGGUCCAUCAGACAUGGAGUGCAUCAGCAACGUUGUGAGAGUACAGUCAUAAGAUGGUCGCCAUGUCACGCAUCCUCCCGGCUCUGAGAGACACUUGGACUCCAUUUCCCAGAAUCCUUUGGGAGAUCACAUUGCUCACCUGACUCCUGACCUCCAUGCUCCAAUCAGCGCUCACAGUCACCGGAAUACUAACUCUGUACACCUGUGUUGUUGUCAAAUGACCUUUGUAGUUUAGUG